GAUAUAUACAAAAACAAACGGCGUAGAAUGAGAUGUGAGCGGAUAUAUAAGAAC
rnacentral:guide_RNA from 1 species